GUUAAUAAGUAGAAAAUUGAAUAAUUUUGCACGAAGCAAAUUGAGCUACUAAAAAGUGCAUUAUAGCGUAUAACCUCAUAUGUAGCAGAAUAUGAAAAUAACUUUUUAUUAGGGGUGACAUGCCUACCAAAUUUUGCGAUAUCUUGUUUUUUAUGAAACAUAUAUAGUAUUAAGACACACUUAAAAUGAUAAGAUUUUAAAAUAGCACAAAUAUAGUUUUUAAAUACACAAUUAAACUAGCGUUGAUUGUAUAGUUAGGUAUAAUAUUCAUUAUUUAUGGUUGUGUUUACUAGUAAAAUGAGCUUACAAAUGGGCGUUGCGUCAAUUAUGUUAAUAUUAGUAUAAUAAUUAAAUCAAAUAAAGGAACUCGGCAAAAUUAAUAUUCGACUGUUUAUCAAAAACAUAGCUAUAUGAUGACGUAUGUAUAGUGCCUUCUGCCCCAUGAUUAAUUUAAAUGGCCGCAGUACCUUGACUGUGCUAAGGUAGCAUAAUCAUUUGUCUUUUAAUUGGAGUCUAGAAUGAAAGAAACCACGGAUAUUUUCUGUCUCAAUGUGAUGAUAGAAUUUACUUAUUAAGUGCAAAAACUUAAAUUUAAACAAUAGACGAGAAGACCCUAGAAAUUUUUUACAUUUUUAUUUUUAACUAUUUUGUUGGGGCGACAGAGUAACAAUUAAACUUACUUUAUUGUACAAAUCUUAAUUUUAAAUAUAGAGCAAAUUACUCUAGGGAUAACAGCAUAAUUUAAAGUAAGUUUGUGACCUCGAUGUUGGACUAGGGAAUCUAUAGGUUAGAAGUUUAUAGAUAAAGCUCUGUUCGAGCAUAUUCUCCUACGUGAUCUGAGACAGACCGG
rnacentral:rRNA from 1 species